rnacentral:lncRNA from 1 species
AUGACCGGGUUAAUUAAAGUUGUUGAGCGUAAUGCUCUUCAGAGCCAUGCAGCAGGGGCGAUGGGGGCAGACUUUUGUGCUGAUGUCGGAGUGAAGGCUGCAGAGCGUUUUUCGGUGAUGCUGCCGCCGCGUCCGUUCCUCAAGUUCGUUUCCAAGGAGGAGAGACGCCUCGCGCCAGGACUCCACCCCCUUCUCCUGAAUGCGCGAGCAGCUGCUUUCAAAUCCAACUGCUCAAUUCCAUUCAUCCUCGAGAGGGAACAAAAAAGUGGCUAUUUAUUAGAAUACUUGUUUUGUAUUGUUCCGCGUCACACAAAAGAGGCUUUAUUAUUGUGUAGUGAGUGGUGGGACUGGGAGCUGGGUAUGACUGGCCUUGGCACACUAAGUGUAGAUUUUAGCAAGGAUGGCGGUCUGGCGAGAGGCUUUGGCUGGGUUAGGACAGCGAUAGAACCGAGAGGUCUGUGUGAGGAUGAUUGUGAGAGACUCUGCUGGAAUUUGGCAGGCCUGCUGCUUGGAGAGGCGCCCCACGCUGUGACUCCCAUUCAGCGGUCCAGCGCGCUGUGAGGUUGGGAAGUUUCACUGAGCCGUGCACUCAAUGGCUCCACAAAGCUGAUUACAAGCCCCAGCGAAUUCCUGAAGGGACCGGGCAGCCACGCAGGUGUGCGGGAAACCGGGGCAACCCUUCAGAGUUAUAGUGACAGAGCAAGACAAGCCGGGAGACCACACAAAAAGCAAAGCGUCCCGCGAAGUGGCCAGGGCUUUGGUGGGAAAAGAGCACCUUAAAUGUCCUCUCCCUUGUGAGCGAAAAGGGAAGGGAGGAGAAACUUUGCGAAGGCCUAUUAAAACGAUGCCCAAUCUCCUCAGGACAGUGAACUGAAAUGCCUUGUUAGCAUCGGAAACGAAUUUCUGUUUUCAUGUUUGCCAUAUGCAUUCUGAAUAAUCUAGUGUCUAGUGUCUCGCAUAAAAUGGGGUUGGGGGUUAACGACGAUUCAUAAAACGUAAAGGCCUGCUCUCCCUCACCGUGCCCUAUUCAUUUCUCUGGUGCGAAAAAUCUACAUCAAUGAAGCAGACAGCGUAUUUAAUUAGAGCGGAGUCUAACUAUCAAUUACUCAGGAAAAACACAGGAUCCCCAAGGACCGGUAAUCAGCGCGCCAACAGUCGGCCGCGCGCUCAUUACGGCAAAGCUACAGGCGGGAAUAAUAAUCAGGGCGCGGCGACGCAUCUGCCUACACUAUUACCACUGCUUCCUGUUGCCUCUCACAAGUUUAAUAACGCCUAGUUUUUGCUCAGUUUAGGUAGCUCACUUGUGGGCGAUAUGACACUUUUUAAUGGUUUUGCUGGCUGAAUAAAAUUAGGCCCACUGUCAUUUCUUUUAGUCUAUAUAGCCUAUGCUUGUGCACUUCACAUAAAAUUGAAUUAAAAGUUUGUAACAAUUUUAUUUCGCUCAUUCCACGUAAAUUUGUAACUUCGUGUUCAUUACUUGGUGUUCAUUUUUGUCAUAGCAUUUUCAGCUUCCAGCAUGCUCUUGCAUAGGACUGAAUGGAGAGAGUAGUAUUGACAUUGUGUUAAUUUAUGUGUUUUCGAGCAAUAUGAAACAAAGGGGAGGAUUGUUCGUGUACAUUGGUCUAUUGGGAUUUAAGAAGAGGUUCUGUCAUGUUGAAGUUUUAGCUUUGCGCUGAAGAGGAGCUUGAGUUUAGGUUUAGAACAGGUGCGUUAUUAUACACUACUUAAAGAGAAAUUGCUGUAUAAAUGUCAGUUCAGUGACCAGUGUUUGUCUUUCUUCCUGUCAACAUCACAUAUAACUACAUUUAUCGUGUUAACGUGUGUGGUUAACUAGUUAGUAAAAAAAAAAUUCUUCCUAAUUUUAAUUAAAACCACUCUCCACAAUUAAACUUUUAAAGUAAAAUAAUGACAUCUUAAAUAUGAAACACUUAGAAUGUAGAAUGUGCACAUAUGGAGAGUAUGUGUUCUGCCAAUAUUUCCUCAGGUUGAGUGAGGGCUCAGUCUUACUUUAUGCGGCUAAUUUAAUCCUACGCAGAGUCAACAAGGGCUAAUUGAGAUCAGCGGGGCGCAAACACCCAUUCACAAUCAGUUUCUCCCGUGCCCAGGAUUGUCCCGUUAAGCCGUUUUGCGUGGUUUUGGGACUCGGAAGUAACCAUGUUGUGGCAAUCUAUAGAUCAAGGCUAUGGCUUUGAUUCCUGAAUUAUACAAAUGGCAAAGGUCUCUGAGAUUUAGGCAUGUUUCAGUUCCCAUGCUUAGCCUUAUAAAUAUGCUAUAAAUCUAUUCCAGUCUUGGCCUCACCUGUGUCCUGUCACCCCUGCUGUCCUCAUGUGAUUAGAGGACAAAAGCACUUACCCGGCCCGGCUAUGGUAGUCAAUCAACCACAACGGACUAUGCUAAUUGAGGGGAAAGGCGAGAGGAAGACGAACAGUGAUCCCAAUUGUUCAGCGAAUUUCACAGCUCAGCGCAGCUGCAAUGCUACUGUUCCCUCCCAAUACACUCUUCCUUCACUUCCAACACAACGCUACUGUAAGCCGAAGUCUGUGCGAACAGCAAGGGAAUUUGAAAUACUCGCGAUUUUCCCAUAAAAUUGACAGUAUAAAAAACCAUAUCGUUUAGGCUACAACUGAAGAGAUAAAUGAGACUUGCUCUGAAGUUUUUGAGGAGCUGUCCAGGUCCUGAAAUGAACGCGACUCAAACACACGUCUGCAUACGUUCUCUGUGGGCUAUAGCACAAGCGACAAAUCUUCAAAUAAAACUAAGUUAAUAAGUUUAUUAGUAGCCUACUUAAUAAUUAUACGUUUUCUCUUUCUUUCUGCCUCGUUAUUAAUCGAUUAGCCUCGCAUCUGCAUAUCUCGUGUGAGGUGUUUGAAUUUAAAAUUGAUGGUCAAAGUUAGUGCUUUAGGUUUUUGGACAAAUCCAAUAAAGAAUAUGAAUAUGUUAGUCCUACCUGUCAUAGCGAAUGAAGAUCUGAACACAAAGUAAUAAGCAUAUCACUUGUUGAAUAAUAGGUAUUUUAGCACAAAGGCAGACUUGAAUUCGUUUAUGCAGACAUAAAUAUUUUGAGUAGUUAUUUGAAAAAUCUAUUUACUGUGCCUUUUUACAAGCCUAGUUACUUGGUACUGAUCAGUCUUUGUUUUUGUUUGCCUUUCUCCCAUUUUUCAGUCUGAGAUCAAAUAUGCGCCUAGAAAACAACUUGUGGCAAAUAUACAAAAAGAAUUGACAACUUCAACUGUAAAUUACUUUUUCUCACAUCUAGUUUGACCCAUCUCACAAGGUGCCCUUCCUCUCAGCAGGGGUCAGAAAAUAGGCCUGAGAAUUGUUUGUGUUUUACCGCUGCUGGAGUCCCACUGUGCUUCUGUAUUUUGUGAUGGGAUAAACUUUGACUGUGUCUGAUUGUGUUGCUUUUACAUCUGAAAGAGGGAGAGAGAGACAGAAAGAAACAACAAUAAAAGAAGUUGAUGUUUAUGGAUUGGUCAUUGAUUUUGUUGCUCUUGGCUGUAUGGGCCCCCUUUUUUAAUAAAGACAGGCAAGGAUAUGGAAGCAUGUACAGCAGUGCGUGCUAAAGCUGUUGAAGUGGAUGAAGUCCGCGUGGACAGUCAGUGACAGUUGAAGUACCUGCCCUAAGGACUGCAUGAUGGAUUGGGGGCAGCAGGGUUAGGGGUGAUAAUGACACACCCCACUGAGUGUUAUUACUUAAAGACUGUGCUGGGCUGAAAUGACAUUGUAAAGGGAUGGGGCUUUUUGCCACGUUUUCACUGCACUGGGUGCUCUAGCUCAGCAACUUACAUCCCGCUUCUGUGUCCUCUUUUGUCUGCUGUAUAACUGCUUCUUUGCUGCUGCUGCUGCUGCCCCCCCCGUCUAUUUCCCCGUCCCUUCUUCUCUCACACUUGCCUAUUCUUUCUAGUGUCUGCUUACAUGCAUUACAGAGACUCACUUUUAUGCAUGCAUAGGUUCCUGGCAGAAUACACUGAAAUUUGGUGCAUAAUUUUUUUGUUCUUCUUCUAACACUGAAAAGCUUAUGUGUGUCUGUAGCUUCAGUGCACCUUACUACUGAACACAUGGCCUGUCUGGCUUAGAUCAAGACUGGGGCUCUACAGGGAGCUUUAAUGAGAUCCCCCGCAGCACAACUCGGGCACAUGUACUCAAGUUAUCGUAAACUAAACACAUAGAUAUCUUUUCUACUCAAAGCAUUUACAAAAAUACAUUUAUUU